ensembl:lncRNA
GGAAGCAGUGGUGCAGACCUCGGAAUGGACCCAUGGAACAGCUAAAGGGCUGACUGCAGCCUGCCAUCUGUGCACAACCAGAAGCAUGAGCUCUCCAGAGAUCAGAGUGAGACGGUGGAAACCGCUGCAGCAGUAGCAGGAUCGCA